rnacentral:rRNA from 1 species
AUUGAACGCUGGCGGCAGGCCUAACACAUGCAAGUCGAGCGGAUGAAGGGAGCUUGCUCCUGGAUUCAGCGGCGGACGGGUGAGUAAUGCCUAGGAAUCUGCCUGGUAGUGGGGGAUAACGUCCGGAAACGGGCGCUAAUACCGCAUACGUCCUGAGGGAGAAAGUGGGGGAUCUUCGGACCUCACGCUAUCAGAUGAGCCUAGGUCGGAUUAGCUAGUUGGUGGGGUAAAGGCCUACCAAGGCGACGAUCCGUAACUGGUCUGAGAGGAUGAUCAGUCACACUGGAACUGAGACAAGGUCCAGACUCCUACGGGAGGCCGCAGUGGGGAAUAUUGGACAAAGGGCGAAAGCCUGAUCCAGCCAUGCCGCGUGUGUGAAGAAGGUCUUCGGAUUGUAAAGCACUUUAAGUUGGGAGGAAGGGCAGUAAGUUAAUACCUUGCUGUUUUGACGUUACCAACAGAAUAAGCACCGGCUAACUUCGUG